GAUGAACGCUGGCGGCGUGCCUAAUACAUGCAAGUCGAGCGAACAGACGAGUAGCUUGCUCCUCUGACGUUAGCGGCGGACGGGUGAGUAACACGUGUAUAACCUACCUAUAAGACUGGGAUAACUUCGGGACACCGGAGCUAAUACCGGAUAAUAUAUUGAACCGCAUGGUUCAAUAGUUAAAGACGGUUUUGCUGUCACUUAUAGAUGGAUCCGCGCCGCAUUAGCUAGUUGGUAAGGUAACGGCUUACCAAGGCUACGAUGCGUAGCCGACCUGAGAGGGUGAUCGGCCACACUGGAACUGAGACACGGUCCAGACUCCUACGGGAGGCAGCAGUAGGGAAUCUUCCGCAAUGGGCGAAAGCCUGACGGAGCAACGCCGCGUGAGUGAUGAAGGUCUUCGGAUCGUAAAACUCUGUUAUUAGGGAAGAACAAAUGUGUAAGUAACUAUGCACGUCUUGACGGUACCUAAUCAGAAAGCCACGGCUAACUACGUG
rnacentral:rRNA from 1 species